rnacentral:misc_RNA from 1 species
GAUGAAGAACUUAGCGAAAUGCGAUAAGUAAUGUGAAUUGCAGAAUUCAGUGAAUCAUCGAAUCUUUGAACGCACAUUGCGCCCGCUAGUAUUCUGGUGGGCAUGCCUGUUCGAGCGUCAUUUCAACCCUCAAGCCUGGCUUGGUGUUGGGGCUCUGCGUCUGCAGUCCCUUAAAUCCAGUGGCGGACACGCUAGGUCUCCGAGCGCAGUAGUUUCUCCUCGCUCAGGGCGUCCGGCGUGGGCUUGCCUCGCACCCAUCUUUUACAAGGUUGACCUCGGAUCAGGUAGGAAUACCCGCUGAACUUAAGCAUAUCAAUAAGCGGAGGA